GGCGCCGGGCGCGCGCCGCCGGAGGCCCCAAACCUCUGUAUUUUACCCGCUCCGGCGGAUUCUCUCUGAGUGGCGAAAGCAAAUCAAAUCAAAACUUUCAACAACGGAUCUCUUGGCUCUGGCAUCGAUGAAGAACGCAGCGAAAUGCGAUAAGUAAUGUGAAUUGCAGAAUUCAGUGAAUCAUCGAAUCUUUGAACGCACAUUGCGCCCGCCAGUAUUCUGGCGGGCAUGCCUGUUCGAGCGUCAUUUCAACCCUCGCGCCCCCCGGCCCCGUGCCGGGCGGGCGCGGUGUUGGGGCUCGGCCGUCCCCCGCGGCGGCCGUCCCCGAAAUCCAGUGGCGGUCUCGCCCGCGGUCUCCCCUGCGUAGUAGCACACCUCGCUCUGGAGCCCCGGCGCGGCCACGCCGUAAAACCCCCCACUUCAAUGGUUGACCUCGGAUCAGG
rnacentral:misc_RNA from 1 species